GACGAACGCUGGCGGCGUGCCUAAUACAUGCAAGUCGAGCGCAGGAAGCCGUCUGAACCCUUCGGGGGGACGACGGUGGAAUGAGCGGCGGACGGGUGAGUAACACGUAAAGAACCUGCCCAUAGGUCUGGGAUAACCACGAGAAAUCGGGGCUAAUACCGGAUGUGUCAUCGGACCGCAUGGUCCGCUGAUGAAAGGCGCUCCGGCGUCGCCCAUGGAUGGCUUUGCGGUGCAUUAGCUAGUUGGUGGGGUAACGGCCCACCAAGGCGACGAUGCAUAGCCGACCUGAGAGGGUGAUCGGCCACACUGGGACUGAGACACGGCCCAGACUCCUACGGGAGGCAGCAGUAGGGAAUCUUCCACAAUGGACGAAAGUCUGAUGGAGCAACGCCGCGUGAACGAUGAAGGCUUUCGGGUCGUAAAGUUCUGUUGUAAGGGAAGAACAAGUGCCGCAGGCAAUGGCGGCACCUUGACGGUACCUUGCGAGAAAGCCACGGCUAACUACGUGCCAGCAGCCGCAGUAAUAC
rnacentral:rRNA from 1 species